GACUCUCGGCAACGGAUAUCUCGGCUCUCGCAUCGAUGAAGAACGUAGCGAAAUGCGAUACUUGGUGUGAAUUGCAGAAUCCCGUGAACCAUCGAGUCUUUGAACGCAAGUUGCGCGCCGAAGCCGUUAGGCCGAGGGCACGUCUGCCUGGGCGUCA
rnacentral:rRNA from 1 species